UCCAGGAAAGAGUGUCUGUGGCAGUUAAUAACGAUUAAUGCCUGUGUGUUUUUCAGAACACUGAGCUGAAGGUUGAAGUGGAGAGCUUGAAACGAGAACUCCAGGACAAGAAACAGCAUCUGGAUAAAACAUGGGCUGAUGUGGAGAAUCUCAACAGUCAGAAUGAAGCUGAGCUCCGACGCCAGUUUGAGGAGCGACAGCAGGAGACGGAGCAUGUUUAUGAGCUCUUGGAGAAUAAGAUGCAGCUUCUGCAGGAGGAAUCCAGGCUAGCAAAGAAUGAAGCUGCGCGGAUGGCAGCUCUGGUGGAAGCAGAGAAGGAGUGUAACCUGGAGCUCUCAGAGAAACUGAAGGGAGUCACCAAAAACUGGGAAGAUGUACCAGGAGACCAGGUCAAGCCCGACCAAUACACUGAGGCCCUGGCCCAGAGGGACAAGUAGGUGCCUUCGGUGCUCUUUUUGUCGCUUGUCUUUUGCCCAUUCUCAAGGCAUACAGCAGCUGUCCUGUUCCCUUUCAAGGACUGACAGUAGGAGCUUCACUAUUUCUAAGACUUUAUGGGCCCACAACCGAAGACAUUCUUUUCAGGGUUGAAUUUUCAGUGGUAUCCAUUAUGAAAACUCACUUCAUGGAUUCAGUGGGCAAAUAGCGGCAAGCAAGAGACAUGGAUUCACUUAUUCAGCAAACAUUUACUGGGCAUGCCACAUGCCAGAUACCGGGCUAAGUAUCUGGCAUGUGUUACAGAAACAAAAGACCUAAAUCUUGUCACCAAGAAACAUGUUACAUGAUUUUAAUAAGUUCCCUGAUAGAAGAGCAUGGGGUGCUCUGGGGAAAUAUUGGAGGGUCAUCCAUUCCACAUUAAAAGAGCAAGUUGUC